CCCUUGUUUCAAAAGUAAAAGGCCGUUCUUCUGUCCAUUAAAGAGGGAUCCGCGCUGCCUUAGCUAGUUGGUAAGGUAACGGCUUACCAAGGCAACGAUGCAUAGCCGACCUGAGAGGGUGAUCGGCCACACUGGAAAUGAGACACGGUCCAGAUUCCUACGGGAGGCAGCAGUAGGGAAUCUUUCCGCAAUGGGCGAAAGCCUGACGGAGCAACGCCGCCUGAGUGAUGAAGGUCUUCGGAUCGUAAAACUCUGUUAUUAGGGAAGAACAUAUGUGUAAGUAACUGUGCACAUCUUGACGGUACCUAAUCAGAAAGCCACGGCUAACUACGUGCCAGCAGCCGCGGUAAUACGUAGGUGGCAAGCGUUAUCCGGAAUUAUUGGGCGUAAAGCGCGCGUAGGCGGUUUUUUAAGUCUGAUGUGAAAGCCCACGGCUCAACCGUGGAGGGUCAUUGGAAACUGGAAAACUUGAGUGCAGAAGAGGAAAGUGGAAUUCCAUGUGUAGCGGUGAAAUGCGCAGAGAUAUGGAGGAACACCAGUGGCGAAGGCGACUUUCUGGUCUGUAACUGACGCUGAUGUGCGAAAGCGUGGGGAUCAAACAGGAUUAGAUACCCUGGUAGUCCACGCCGUAAACGAUGAGUGCUAAGUGUUAGGGGGUUUCCGCCCCUUAGUGCUGCAGCUAACGCAUUAAGCACUCCGCCUGGGGAGUACGACCGCAAGGUUGAAACUCAAAGGAAUUGACGGGGACCCGCACCAGCGGUGGAGCAUGUGGUUUAAUUCGAAGCAACGCGAAGAACCUUACCAAAUCUUGACAUCCUUUGACAACUCUAGAGAUAGAGCCUUCCCCUUCGGGGGACAAAGUGACAGGUGGUGCAUGGUUGUCGUCAGCUCGUGUCGUGAGAUGUUGGGUUAAGUCCCGCAACGAGCGCAACCCUUAAGCUUAGUUGCCAUCAUUAAGUUGGGCACUCUAAGUUGACUGCCGGUGACAAACCGGAGGAAGGUGGGGAUGACGUCAAAUCAUCAUGCCCCUUAUGAUUUGGGCUACACACGUGCUACAAUGGACAAUACAAAGGGCAGCGAAACCGCGAGGUCAAGCAAAUCCCAUAAAGUUGUUCUCAGUUCGGAUUGUAGUCUGCAACUCGACUACAUGAAGCUGGAAUCGCUAGUAAUCGUAGAUCAGCAUGCUACGCAAUGGCCAUA
rnacentral:rRNA from 1 species